AUUGAACGCUGGCGGCAUGCCUUACACAUGCAAGUCGAACGGUAGAGGGGGCAACCUCUCGAGAGUGGCGAACGGGUGAGUAAAGCAUCGGAACGUGCCCAGUAGUGGGGGAUAGCCCGGCGAAAGCCGGAUUAAUACCGCAUGAGACCUACGGGUGAAAGGGGGGGAUCGCAAGACCUCUCGCUAUUGGAGCGGCCGAUGUCAGAUUAGGUAGUUGGUGGGGUAAAGGCCUACCAAGCCGACGAUCUGUAGCUGGUCUGAGAGGACGACCAGCCACACUGGGACUGAGACACGGCCCAGACUCCUACGGGAGGCAGCAGUGGGGAAUUUUGGACAAUGGGCGAAAGCCUGAUCCAGCCAUGCCGCGUGCGGGAAGAAGGCCUUCGGGUUGUAAACCGCUUUUGUCAGGGAAGAAAUCCUUUGAGUUAAUACCUCGGGGGGAUGACGGUACCUGAAGAAUAAGCACCGGCUAACUACGUGCCAGCAGCCGCCGUAA
rnacentral:rRNA from 1 species